AUUUCCUUUGGUUGGAAGGAGGGUCUUCGAGUUGCUUAAACAAACCGCAAAGGCACCGCAGCGCAGCUUUCCUUUUGGCCAGUUUGGGCACUCCUCUCCCUUCGUAGCGGCCCAAAGGAACGCACUUUCCCCACACCCCACAGACCGUGGUGGCAGCAGGGUACCCCCAGCCCCGUCCCGCUUUGCCGCCCCGGUGGAAGCGAUUUCCAGCCUAUCUACGGAAGAAAAAGGGGAGAAAAGUGUGUGUCUCUUUCUGGAAACUGCCUCCCAAUUCUGCUCGGACACGUUGCUUUUGCUAUGCUAAGAGAAGGCAUUUAAUGGUGUCAAUAUCCAACCCACCCCCCUCGGCAAAGUUGAAGGCAAGGCUCUCGGUGCUAAUCCUAGGCUUUCCACCCGGGCAGUGAAACUCAGAACGGGCAAUGAACUCCCCGUCUCCCAGAGGGACGACCUCGUCAGCAAAUGGCCAGACACGGCGGGGGCGAAAGGCUCCCACCCCCCGCUCCCCGCGAGGAGGGGACGAGCGCCGGCGGCCGGGGUCUGGCGUGGAGCGGGGUCGGAAGAAGGGAAGAGGGGGGCUGGAGGGCACAGAUGAGGAUGAUAGCCCGACCCCCCGGCUGAAAAAUACAGGCAGGAAAAAGGGAUAUGUGAAAAAGUAGGACUGGAGGAGAGAGAGAAAAAAUGAAGCUCAGUCAUCCAGAAUAACGGUGUCCUUCACUCCGCUUUCAGUCUGCCCUUUUGAAUUUGCAGCUACCAUGUUUGAUUACAAAAAGUUAUCUUCAGAUCAUCUGCGUGAGAAAAGAGACAGAAUUUUCCCAGUGGAGUUUUAUUGCUUGCACAAGUGAAAGGAAGAGGCAACUAGAUGUGUGGAAGUGGUGAGUUAUUUCACAUAUUCUGACAUAAUCCAAGAAAACAACAGAUGGCAAUUUCAUCCAAGUGAGUGUUAUCCACUAGGACUGCAGAAGAGGAGCUUGUUUUCCUGUAACUUCCUGCCUUUCAGGUUAAAAGUUACAGAACCUACUGCAGUGCUCUAAUGUGAGUCUCAAAUGCAGGUUAGGGUUGGAUUGUCUUAGCCAGAGAAAAGUCUGCUGUUUUCAGUAAGAUGAGAUGGAGCCCUGCCCUCGAACAAAAUUUGGAAUCCAACCUCACUGACUAGACUUGGAUGUGGAAUUUCUAGUGUGCAAUGCAUGAGUAGUGAUAAUGCAGUCCAGCAGAAGAAAUGGAGGUAGUAUAAAGAAAAGUAGAAGAAUGUUAAGAAGUUGUGUGGUUAUGUGGGAAACAAAAAACAGUUGGCAGAUUAAAGGGCUUGGAAGAGAAGCAGUAAAAGGAGGAAGGGAAGAGAG